UUUGCCACUAGGUGAUGACCC
rnacentral:piRNA from 1 species